rnacentral:misc_RNA from 1 species
UUUCCGUCGGUGAACCUGCGGAAGGAUCAUUAUUGUAUAACGGAGGUGCGAGGGCUGUCGCUGACCCGAAACGACGUGCACGCCCGAGUGCCCUCACACACAUCUAUCUCACCCCGAAGUGCACCACCGCGUGGGUCCCCCUUUGGCUUGUUCGGAGGGGGGCUUACGUUUUCACACAAACUUUGUAUGUAGUGUAGAAUGUAUUUUUUGUUUUUGCGAUCACGCAAUCAAUACAACUUUCAACAACGGAUCUCUUGGCUCUC